GAUGAACGCUGGCGGCGUGCCUAAUACAUGCAAGUCGAGCGAACAGACGAGGAGCUUGCUCCUCUGACGUUAGCGGCGGACGGGUGAGUAACACGUGGAUAACCUACCUAUAAGACUGGGAUAACUUCGGGAAACCGGAGCUAAUACCGGAUAAUAUAUUGAACCGCAUGGUUCAAUAGUGAAAGACGGUUUUGCUGUCACUUAUAGAUGGAUCCGCGCCGCAUUAGCUAGUUGGUAAGGUAACGGCUUACCAAGGCGACGAUGCGUAGCCGACCUGAGAGGGUGGUCGCCCACACGGGAAGUGAGACACGGUCCAGACUCCUACGGGAGGCAGCAGUAGGGAAUCUUCCGCAAUGGGGGAAAGCCUGACGGAGCAACGCCGCGUGAGUGAUGAAGGUCUUCGGAUCGUAAAACUCUGUUAUUAGGGAAGAACAAAUGUGUAAGUAACUAUGCACGUCUUGACGGUACCUAAUCAGAAAGCCACGGCUAACUACGUG
rnacentral:rRNA from 1 species